rnacentral:rRNA from 1 species
AACGCUAGCUACAGGCUUAACACAUGCAAGUCGAGGGGCAGCAUGAAGUCAGCUUGCUGACUUUGAUGGCGACCGGCGCACGGGUGAGUAACGCGUAUCUAACCUGCCUCUGUCUCGGGCAUAACCCGGUGAAAACCGGACUAAUUCCCGAUGUUGUUCCUUGACGGCAUCAGAUUGGAACCAAAGAUUUAUCGGACAGGGAUGGGGAUGCGUCUGAUUAGGUAGUUGGUGAGGUAACGGCUCACCAAGCCUUCGAUCAGUAGGGGUUCUGAGAGGAAGGUCCCCCACAUUGGAACUGAGACACGGUCCAAACUCCUACGGGAGGCAGCAGUGAGGAAUAUUGGUCAAUGGGCGCGAGCCUGAACCAGCCAAGUAGCGUGCAGGAUGACGGCCCUAUGGGUUGUAAACUGCUUUUAUACGGGGAUAAAGUUGGGGACGUGUCCCCAUUUGUAGGUACCGUAUGAAUAAGGACCGGCUAAUUCCGUGCCAGCAGCCGCGGUAAUACGGAAGGUCCGGGCGUUAUCCGGAUUUAUUGGGUUUAAAGGGAGCGUAGGCCGGAGAUUAAGCGUGUUGUGAAAUGUAGGAGCUCAACUUCUGCACUGCAGCGCGAACUGGUUUCCUUGAGUACGUAGGAAGUUGGCGGAAUUCGUGGUGUAGCGGUGAAAUGCUUAGAUAUCACGAAGAACUCCGAUUG